CUCACCUACGACGGCACCUGUUUUACUGUUACUACUUUCAAUGGAUGGAUAAAAGGUUCAGUCUUCCCUGAGAAUUGCUUCUGUUGCUUUGCUCUGCUUGUCCUGUGUGGCUGCUGUGAAUCUGAACAGUGCAAUGAUAAUCAUACCAUAAUCUUUGGCUCCUGUGGAUGUUGACCAAGCUAACAGAAUUAUUCUCUCAAAGUAAUGUUUAGCUUUCUACAAAGAGAUGGCACUAACAUAUUUAAUGGUUAGAGCACUUCUAUCAUGCAAAGGGUUAUCUAGAUCAAAAUUAAACCAGUAUGCUCUUCAUCUAACUGCAUGAUUCUGCCACGUGCAGCUGUAAAAAUAAUUGAUUGCUUCAUUUUUCAGACGUGCCUCAUAGUGGAUUUAAAGUGGAAGUGCCCAGAGGAAUAAUUCUUCAUCUGGUGGAUGAGGUUACAAGUUGGUUACCUGGUGACCUGGUAUCGUCACUGCCAGUACAGAUUAUUUUAUGCAUCGGCCUGAAGAGUUUAAUCUCCUUCCUUGUCCAAGGAAAAGCAGUCAAGUGAAAAUUGAUGGCAGCCAACUUUGUCUUCACAUUGGAGCAGUCAUAGGUGGUAUUGAUAUGAGGCAGAAGUUGGUUUUCUGACAAGAAAUAUACUUAUUCAAGGAGAAAUGGAAGACUCCUGUUGUGGACAAUAUCAGCGCCAGUUUUUCUCUUUUUGAUACAUUGGAAGGCACAUUAAAAUCCUAAGGAAUUCUAGCUCUGUUCACAUGUCAGGAGUGGAACUAAAAAGUAUGGAGCAACAGAUCUUGGGCAGUUACCUUGUAAAUUUUCACCUGGCUGAGGAUGUGGAUGAGGGAGGAGGAUAUGAACAUCCAACGCACGUCAAUAACCUGGCUAUCACCACUGCUUCUCGGGUUGGAAUUCGUGGCCUUCUGAGCUGUCAGCACGUUCCGGAUUGCAAAUCCAAACAACAACUUAAUAGAGAAUGCAGUGGCUGGUGCUCAGGAUGUUGGGAUGUGGUGCCUCUUCCACUGGGUCCCCACCAGGCAGUGUGA
rnacentral:lncRNA from 1 species